rfam:Gossypium raimondii Chr04_contig_38, whole genome shotgun sequence.
UGUUAAAAAUUUCAUCCAUUUCUACAGUUAAAAACCAACGUGGCUAAUAGAAUAAUCAGGCAGUUACACAUAAUGUGCCACGUGUAUCUCAUUCUGACAUACAUGGACUGAUUUUAACAGUAGAAGUGGAUGGGAUUUUUAACA